rnacentral:rRNA from 1 species
AGCGAACGCUGGCGGCAGGCUUAACACAUGCAAGUCGAGCGCCCCGCAAGGGGAGCGGCAGACGGGAGAGUAACACGUGGAACGUACCCUUUAGUUCGGAACAACCCAGGGAAACUUGGGCUAAUACCGGAUACGUCCGUAAGGAGAAAGAUUUAUCGCUAAAGGAUCGGCCCGCGUCUGAUUAGCUAGUUGGUGAGGUAACGGCUCACCCAGGCGACGAUCAGUAGCUGGUCUGAGAGGAUGAUCAGCCUCACUGGGACUGAGACACGGCCCAGACUCCUACGGGAGGCAGCAGUGGGGAAUAUUGGACAAUGGGCGCAAGCCUGAUCCAGCCAUGCCGCGUGGGUGAUGAAGGCCCUAGGGUUGUAAAGCCCUUUCGGCGGGGAAGAUAAUGACGGUACCCGCAGAAGAAGCCCCGGCUAACUUCGUGCCAGCCGCCGCUGUAA